ensembl:lncRNA
UGUUUUUAAUGUUUUUGUGUUUUCAGUAUAUCACUUUCCAUCCUAUUAGUAUUUUGUAGGAUCCAUUUAACUAACAAAAGGCAGUUCCUGAAUGACAUCGUCCUGCAGGAAGUGACAUCAUUUUGGAGGGAAAACAGUAGUACGAAUAUCAUAAGGGGGCGUUUGACACCAGUGUAGGUGAAGAACUCUCCCCGCUGUGCUCCAUUUGGUGCCGUCCUUCACCUCGGCCACUGACCGGACGGCCAUCGACCCGCACAGCUCCUCACAGACGGCCAACAAAUGCUGCCACAAAUGGAUCUAAUUGGCACCUCUGCAUGCCCCGUUCAGAGGAGGGCAGAGAUCAGGCUACAACUGCACCAGAACCUGCAUGUCUGCUGCUAACAGAUCCCAUCCUGAGCUCUCAUUCAGGGAACAAUCAC